rnacentral:lncRNA from 1 species
UGAAAUAAGAUUUAGUUGAUUUUUUUAACUUAAUUUCAAAAUAGUUAUUCCAUGAAACUAAAAUAAGUUUUAUAAUUUUUGUUUUUAUUUUAAAACUAACAUGUCGCCAUCAACGAACAUAUGAACCAUUUCAAUAAGCAUCGACCACUACCCAAUGACCACUACCUCCAACAUCAUCGAUCACUACCUCAACUAUCACCACCGUCUUCAACCACCACCACCACCAUUGACUACCCACCUCCAAACAUCGCCACCACCACGAACCAUCUCCAUCAUCACCAAUACCACUAGCCACUCACCUAUAUAACAAUCGCCACCAUCAUCUCUGACUAUCACCACGACAACCAACCACUGACAUCACCAUUGAUCACCUCCAUCAUUUCUUUGGCCACCACGAGCCACUCACAUCUAGCAAUCGUCACCACCAUUUUCGACCACUAUUAUCACCAUCUCCCAUCACCGACCACUCACCUUCAAUCAUCACCAACACCAAUGACCACCCACCUAUGACAACAACCAACACCAUCUUCAAUCAUCAACGACCACCACUACUAACCACCAACAUUCUGCCACCGCCGACCAACCAUCAUCUUUCACCACUGUUCACGAUUACAGUCAUCAUUGAUCAUGCUCUAGUAUAUGUAAUUUUUAUAUAAUUUAUUACAAAUUUUAAUAAAUAAUUAAUAUUUUUUAUUAUUAUAUAUUAAAUUUCCACAAUUUUUAAACGAUAUAAAAAAUAAAUAAAUAAAUAAAUAAAUAAGGGUAGGAAUAACUAAGAAAAGUAUUGGAAAAAUAAAAUAAAAAAUAGAGUAUAUGGUUGCAUCUUUUUAAGAUGUCAUUUAGAGUAUGUUUAGUUUUGAGAAGAGAAAAAUAGGUGAAAAAGAAUUGAGAGGAGAUAAAAUAUUGAGAAAUAUAAUAGAUAUAAGAUAUUGUUUUAUUUUAAAGAAAGAAAAGAGAAAUAUGUUUAUUUAAUAAAAAGACAAAAAUAUCUUUAUACUAAAAAUUGAUUUGUUUUUAUUUUAAUUCAAAUUGAUUUUUUGGUCAUUUAAUUUAUUAAAUUAAUUUAAUUAUUAUUAAUCAACUAAAAUAAUUUAUAAAUAAAAAAGUCAACUAAAAGAAUUUUCAAUUAUGGUUUUUUUUACGCAAGAUAAACCAAACCAAUUACUUAGUUUGAAUUAAUAAGAAUUUGUUAUGUAACUUUGCGAUAGAUAUGUAUUAUGUCCGUCAACGAAGAAAAAUUGAGAGACACGCUGCACUGAUUGAACGAAUAAAAGAGUGAUUCGAUUUUAUAUUUCUAAUUUGUUUUGCUCAUUCAUUAAGGAAAAUUGUAAAUUUUAUCAUGUAUUUGUUCUAAACAUUUUCUGUGUUUUAAAGUUUUUUCUAAUAUAUUUAUUUUUAGUCUGUUAAAAACAAUUUUGAUAGUUUAUUCUUUUAAAUUUUAAUAUUUUAUAGUGUGAGAUGUAUGAGUGGGACGGAACAUAAAUGAUUUUCAACUAGAACUAGAAUUAGAAAAUAAAUCAAAGGUUGAAUUUAGGGAUGAUAAUUAUAUUUAAAUUUAAUAGAUAUCAGCAAAAAAAUCACCAAUAUAAAUAAAAUAAAAAUUCACAUAAUAGGUAUAAAUAUAAUGAUAAAUAAUUAUUCGAAAAAUUAAACGGAUAUGAAUGCGUAUAUCGUUACUAUAAUUUAACUAUUUUUUAUUUGUAUUUAAGCUUUAUUGGUAUAAUUGAACCACUACAAUAUUUAUAAUAAAAAGAUUAACGUUUGCAAACUUUUUCAUAAUCUGAUUAUGAUGAAUAACUAAAUAACUUUGACUUUGUAACUAUAAAUUUUAUGUUAUUAAUCGUAAUUUUGUAAUUAUAUUUGACUAAUAUAAUAUACAUAUUCUUUUUUUCUUUUUUUCAGAUAUCCAACAAUAAUAUCCUUAAGAUUUGCAACUUCAUUUGAAAUAUUUUGGAUGUUGAAAGUUAUAAAAUAUUUUAAUUAAUUUUUAAUACUUUAUAAUUUGAAUUUAAGAGAUUUAAAUAAUUUUUAAAUUUAAUUACAAUAAUAAUGAUUAUUUGUCAAUUUAUUUUAACUAAAAUGUAGUAAUAAUUAAUAAAUAUAAAUACGGACAUUUAAAUAUUCAAAAGGUAAAUGUAAGAAUACUAAAUUUGAUGUUAAUAAUAAUAUAUGCAUGAAUAUAAAUAUUUUUUUAAAAUUAUAGAUAUAGAGACAAGUACUAUAAUAUUUUUUUUUAAUAAAACACUUUUCUUUCUUUGAGAAAUAAAAUAUUUUAUUUUAGUCAGACAAAUAAACUUAACAAAACAUGAUACUUGUAGUAGGUGUGAUUACAACUUAAUAAUAUUUUUAUGUAGCUAUAUAAAAUAAUUCAAAAGAUAAGAUAGUGAUAGGGAUACCAAUCAAUAAAGUAAGAUAAGAUAUUAUACAUAGGAAUGGAUAAUUGGAUAUAUAAAUAGACAUACUUAAAAUAGUCCAAUGGAUAAGACUGUGGACUUUGUGCGGAACAUUAACCACAUCGUGCGAAGUUCUUUUGUUAUAAAUCAUCAUGCGAAACUUUCAAUGCAUUAUUAGUUUUUCUUUUUCACUAACUCCAUCUCUUUCUUUCUUUGCCUGUUUAGUAAAAUAAGUAGUUUUACAUUUUUUUUCUCAUUUUUUUUAAUUAUUUUAUCUGUGUGCGACAUUAUUUUAUUUAUUAUUGUAGUGUAAUAUUCUUUGUUCUCGUCUCAUUACAGUAUUUUAUUUUAUUUUAUUUUAUGUUUAUAUUUCUUGUAUUUAUUAAAAUAUUUGAGACUCACUCGUUUAAUUGGUAUUUUAUUUUUAGUAAAUAACUUAUGAAUAUCACCAAAUUUAAUAUUAUCUAAGUUUUACAUAUAAUUUGUCAACAUGUAGUUGAAUCGAUCAUAUUAAAUAUCACAUAUAAUUAAUAUAAAACAAACAUCAAUAUUAUUUUUGUUGAAGAUGAAUGACAUUAAAAACUUGUAGAUCUUGCAUUAUUGUUGAUCAUAUGUAGAAUAAAUUAGUUUGAAGUUGUUAUAAUUAAAUUUUUAGUUAAGUAAUUUCGUAGUGACUUCUAACUAUUGUGUAUACUUGGCGGAAUGUUUCAACCCAUGAUCCAUUUGAUUGUAUUAUUUGCAUAUUAUCAUUUAAAUGAAAGUUAUUUUUAUGUAAAAAAAAGUCCUUCUCAUAAUCAAUGUUUCAAUUGGUUACAAUAUUUUACACAUAAUAAAAAAAUUAUAAAGAAAAGAGCGAAAAAAUUAUAUAUAUAUAUAUUUUUUUUUACCAAAUUAAUGUUAUCAAAUAUUAAUAUAUUCAACGUGGCCAUAAAUUUAAGGUGAAAGAGAUUGAAUUGAGGGUAAAACCAUGAUGUUAAUUAGAGGAUAAAACUAAAAUAAUAAUUAAGAUUGUAUUGAAAAUAAUAUGAUCAUUUAUUUACUUUUAUAAAUAUUUCGAUUAUUGUGUUAUUAUUGAGAGAGUAUCAAAGAAUAGCAUGUGGUUAGUCCAUAAAAAAAAAUUGUUUAUAUUAAUAUAUGAAAAAUUGUUCAAUAAAAACAAAAGAGUUAUGUCUUUAAAUAUUAAUUCAACGGAUAAAUAUCGAUGUUGUUAGAUUGAAUGUUUUGUCUCGAAUUUGAAUAUGAGACCUCAUAGUUGAAUUAGUUAUGAUAUAAUUUGUCAUUUAUUAUAAGACAAAAAUAAAUGAAUAAAAGAGUUAUUAAAAACUAAAAUGUAUAUCAAUUAAAGAGUAUUUUAAAAAUAAUAUCACUGAAUAUUGUAAAAAUAUUCAAUUAAUAAUUUUUUUUGGGGAAAUUAAUUAUUUUGGCUUUUUAUAUUCUUCAUUUUAAGUUUAAUUUUCCGAUUAGUACUUUUCUUUUAUGAAUUUUCAUUCAGAACUUUAAUGACAUUAAAAAAAAAUUAUAUAUACAUUUUUCACACCACUUUGUGACUUAUCAAUUUACUAUUUAAUUUGUCACAUCGUAAAAGUAAGUCCCAAAUUUAAUGCCGGAGAAAACUUAUGAAACACUAAAAAUUGUGUUAUAUUUUUUAAUUUAGAAAUGGAGGAAUUAAAAUCAUUAAUCACUAGAAAUAUUACAAACAAAAACGCAUUUAAUCGUUUUCUAUUUAUAAUCGAACCAGAUCGGAAAUACCAAACAGUUAAUUUGAGUGCAAAUUCAGUUGAAACAUCAUCACUAAUUUAAGGCAAUCAAUGUGCAAACAUCAUCCAUUGGUAGAAACGGAUUAAAUAGUAAAUACUCCAAGCUUGUCUUUUAAAUUAUAGUUCUAGAACUAUCUCAAUCUAGUUUCCUAUAUUAUUAAUAUUGUAAAAGGAUUAUUAUAAAAGAAUACUUGGUUUGCAUUAAAUUAUGAGUUUCACCUGUAAGUUUAAUAAAUUUUAAUGAUUUUAAUGAUCUUAUAAAGUCAAAUAAUAAAAAUAAUCUUAUAAAGUCAAAUAAUAAAAAUAAUCUUAAUUUAGAUUUAAAUUAAUAUUAUUUAUUUAAGCACUUUUUUACUAGAUUUAUUUUAGUUCUAAAAAAUACAGGAUCACACCUUUUUAAUUUAAUUAAAAACUAGAAAAUACAAGGAUUACAGAAUAAAUUGUAUAAAAGCUAUAUACAACAAUAAAAAAGAAAAUCCAUAUUUUCAAACAUUAAAAUAAACUAAUUAAUUGCAAGUAAUCUGUAAAAAGAAUGAUUAAUUGAAAUCGUGUUUUCUAUAACCAAAUCUGGGGAUUUUGAGGGCACACAAAUCAAAACCAUCUUUAUAAGAAUUUGGGGGAAAAAAUUAUUGAAAUCAAACACGAUUUGAGUUAAAUCAGGCUUCCAAUUGAGUACUAGUUCGGUAUAUAUCGAAAUAAGAAAACACAUAGGGGUAUUAGAUUAUGUAAUAAUAAGAUGAAAAAUAUACAUAUUUAUAUGCAAGAUAUUAAUAUUAUACAUAUAAAUCCAACUCCAAGCAGGGUUGAAAGCCUUUACAUAUUAAUUAUAUAUGUAAUAAAAGCUUAAAGUAUAGUUUAAUUAAUUAUGAUGGAUAAGCAUUAAGCACCAUAACAUAAUAACUCACUCACUGUGGAGAAACAGAAACAGCUUUAUGAUUAGGAGGCAAUGAUUUGGUCCGUUUCAUCCAAGAUGGUGUAGAUGACGAAGAUACCCCUGAACGAUGUAAACGACACCUGAAAGAGCCUUCAUGUGUCGUUGGAGAACAUAGGCACUGUCCUUUGAGAAACGACGCCGCUACAUCGCCGUUUAUACCACUGUCACUUUUGGGUGAUGAUGUUGAAAUGGUUAGCUUAAGUUGAGUUUGAGUUUGAGAUUGAGAAGCCAUGGAUCAAGGAGCUGAAUUAGGACCACAAACUUCGGUUAUAUACAAAAAAACAACACUACAAUAAUGUUUCCAUAUGUAUAUAAUAAUUAUUUAAUAAUGUAGUGUAUUUAAUUUACAUGUAUAAAAUUAUGAUUAAUUAUAUAAAUAAUUAUAAUAAAAUUAAAUAUUAUUAUUAAUGUAACGGUUUUAGUUUUAUUAAUAAUAUAAAAAUAUUUACACUACUAUUAUAUAUAAAUUAAAUUUACAAAAUAUAUGUACAUAGAUACAUGUAUGAAUUAAUCAAUGGAUUGAACUAAAAUUGAUUUA